rnacentral:sRNA from 1 species
GCCAGGCAUGGUGGGCACGCCUGUAUUCCCAGCAACUUGGGAGGCUGAGGCAGGAGGAUUGUGAGUUCAAAGUCGGCUUCAGUAAUUUAGUGAGACCCUGAGCAAAUCAGGGAGACCCUGUCUCUA